GGCGUCCACCUGCUCCUGUUAUUCUUACGGAGACACUGCAGUGAUUUACGCCUGGUCCUCUCUGUGGCCAGGAGCUGAAGCCUAAUGUGACUGGGUAUUAACACAUUCAUGUGAUGUCUGGUAAUUGCCCUUAAUGGUCCCAGCGUAACACUGCAGUGAUUGAUUACUGUUCGAUCUGACAGAUGGUCUAUUUGAAGCGGGAGAGUGACCCAUGAGGAUGAUAGAGGCUUUUCUUCUGACCUGACAAAGAAGCAUUUUAUGCUCUGCCAUCUCCAUCGAACUCAUCUAUCUGGUCUGGGCAACAGCUGAGAGAGGACCUGCCAACUAGCCACCACCGCCGCCAGGCGGUAUCUCAGCAUCACCACACCACAUAACUCCAUGUCCAACACCAAUAAAAGUUGUUUUAUUGCCACACUUUCCAGACUGAAUACUGUUUGGGCGCUAUGUGCCACAGUAAACGUCAGCUGCAGAGAGGACAAAGGCAGCGGGUUAUUUUCGUGGGCCGUUCCCCUGAGCGUUAGAAACUAUAAAUCUGAAUCUGUAUUCCCCAAACCUCAGUUGGGGUGUGCAUCCAACACUCUGUCAGCUUUUCUCUCCCUAAGAUUUGGUGUACAGUUUAUGACCAAAGAUGUCGGACGCGUAAGUAUGCUUUGUAAAAUCAUAAACACUGAAAUGAUAAAAAAAAGGACUAUUUGUCGACGAGCAUUUACACAUCUCUGUUUUUGUUUUACAUGUCUGUGUGUGUGUGUGUGUCUGUUUGUGUAUGUGUGUGUGUGUGUGUGUGUGUGUGUGUGUGUGUGU